rnacentral:rRNA from 1 species
AGUGAACGCUGGCGGUAGGCCUAACACAUGCAAGUCGAACGGCAGCACAGUAAGAGCUUGCUCUUACGGGUGGCGAGUGGCGGACGGGUGAGGAAUACAUCGGAAUCUACUCUUUCGUGGGGGAUAACGUAGGGAAACUUACGCUAAUACCGCAUACGACCUACGGGUGAAAGCAGGGGAUCUUCGGACCUUGCGCGAUUGGAUGAGCCGAUGUCGGAUUAGCUAGUUGGGGGGGUAAAGGCCCACCAAGUGGACGAUCCGUAGCUGGUCUGGGAGGAUGAUCAGCCACACUGGAACUGAAACAGGGUCCAGACUCCUACGGGAGGCAGCAGUGGCGAAUAUUGGACAGUGGGCGCAAGCCUGGUCCAGCCAUACCGCGUGGGUGAAGGAGGCCUUCGGGUUGUAAAGCCCUUUUGUGGGGAAAGAAAAGCAGCAGGUUAAUACCCCGCUGUUCUGACGGUACCCAAAGAAUAAGCACCGGCUAACUUCGUG